rnacentral:lncRNA from 1 species
UUGAGAUGGUGUGGGAGCUGUUUUAAUAUAUGCUGUACUUUUUAAUUAUAUCAAGUCAAUGAAAUGUAUCAACGAAAAAUCUUACAUAUCUUGUUUGUGUAUGUUGAAGCGUUUAUGACCGUAAGAAAUUUUAUAGGGAUUUUAUUAAUAAAUAAAGUCAUUUAGGAUUUUACGAAAGGAUCAGCUAAAACAUCCGUAAAUUUUUAUUCGAUUUGUUAUCUGCUUUCGAUUCGAAUCAAAAAAUCUAGAUACCAAUCUACAAAGCAAAUCAAAUACUAAUAUGCAAUAUCCACAAGAAAUAAAACAAAUCAUAAAUACUAAAAUCAUUAUAUACAUAU